AUUUAAAUAGCUUAUAUAAUUAGAGUAUAAUAUUGAAGAUAUUAAGGAGAUUGUUAAAUCUUUAAAUA
rnacentral:tRNA from 1 species